rnacentral:rRNA from 1 species
GACGAACGCUGGCGGCGUGCUUAACACAUGCAAGUCGAACGGAAAGGCCCUGCUUUUGUGGGGUGCUCGAGUGGCGAACGGGUGAGUAACACGUGAGUAACCUGCCCUUGACUUUGGGAUAACUUCAGGAAACUGGGGCUAAUACCGGAUAGGAGCUCCUGCUGCAUGGUGGGGGUUGGAAAGUUUCGGCGGUGGGGGAUGGUCUGGCGGCUUAUAAGCUGGUUGGUGGGGUAGUGGCUUACAAAGGCUUUGACGGGUAGCCGGCCUGGGAGGGUGACCGGCCACAUUGGGACUGAGAUACGGCCCAGACUCCUACGGGAGGCAGCAGUGGGGAAUAUUGCACAAUGGGCGGAAGCCUGAUGCAGCAACGCCGCGUGCGGGAUGACGGCCUUCGGGUUGUAAACCGCUUUCGCCUGUGACGAAGCGUGAGUGACGGUAAUGGGUAAAGAAGCACCGGCUAACUACGUG